GUGGGGUGAUUUUCAGGUUGACGGCAUGGAAAAGGAUUUAGAAUAGGGUUUAAUGUUUUGCGAAACUAGCAGAUGUGGAGUUUUUUUGGUGAUUUUAGCAUGAAAAAUCAGAUGGAAAAAUUGCUAUGGUGUAUCUUUGAAAUUCAAAGACAGUGAUGAUGGCGUCGUCAAUAAUUCUAUGAGUGUUGCGGCUGACUAGGGGUGUU
rnacentral:lncRNA from 1 species